AGAGUUUGAUUCUGGCUCAGAACGAACGCUGGCGGCGUGGAUAAGACAUGCAAGUCGAACGAGAGAAUUGCUAGCUUGCUAAUAAUUCUCUAGUGGCGCACGGGUGAGUAACACGUGAGUAACCUGCCCCCGAGAGCGGGAUAGCCCUGGGAAACUGGGAUUAAUACCGCAUAGAAUCGCAAGAUUAAAGCAGCAAUGCGCUUGGGGAUGGGCUCGCGGCCUAUUAGUUAGUUGGUGAGGUAACGGCUCACCAAGGCGAUGACGGGUAGCCGGUCUGAGAGGAUGUCCGGCCACACUGGAACUGAGACACGGUCCAGACACCUACGGGUGGCAGCAGUCGAGAAUCAUUCACAAUGGGGGAAACCCUGAUGGUGCGACGCCGCGUGGGGGAAUGAAGGUCUUCGGAUUGUAAACCCCUGUCAUGUGGGAGCAAAUUAAAAAGAUAGUACCACAAGAGGAAGAGACGGCUAACUCUGUGCCAGCAGCCGCGGUAAUACAGAGGUCUCAAGCGUUGUUCGGAAUCACUGGGCGUAAAGCGUGCGUAGGCUGUUUCGUAAGUCGUGUGUGAAAGGCGCGGGCUCAACCCGCGGACGGCACAUGAUACUGCGAGACUAGAGUAAUGGAGGGGGAACCGGAAUUCUCGGUGUAGCAGUGAAAUGCGUAGAUAUCGAGAGGAACACUCGUGGCGAAGGCGGGUUCCUGGACAUUAACUGACGCUGAGGCACGAAGGCCAGGGGAGCGAAAGGGAUUAGAUACCCCUGUAGUCCUGGCAGUAAACGGUGCACGCUUGGUGUGCGGGGAAUCGACCCCCUGCGUGCCGGAGCUAACGCGUUAAGCGUGCCGCCU
rnacentral:rRNA from 1 species